AGAGUUUGAUUAUGGCUCAGGAUGAACGCUGGCGGCGUGCUUAACACAUGCAAGUCGAACGAGGUCCAACCUUCGGGUGAAGACCGAGUGGCGAACGGGUGAGUAACACGUGGGGAACCUGCCCUUCUCUCUGGGAUAACCUCGGGAAACCGAAGCUAAUACCGGAUACUCCUUGCGGACCGCAUGGUCUGCUCGGGAAAGCUCCGGCGGAGAAGGAUGGCCCCGCGGCCCAUUAGCUUGUUGGUGGGGUAACGGCCCACCAAGGCGACGAUGGGUAGCCGAGCUGAGAGGCUGAUCGGCCACACUGGGACUGAGACACGGCCCAGACUCCUACGGGAGGCAGCAGUGGGGAAUCUUGCGCAAUGGGCGAAAGCCUGACGCAGCAACGCCGCGUGCGGGAUGAAGGCUCUCGGGUCGUAAACCGCUUUCAGCAGGGAUGAAAAUGACAGUACCUGCAGAAGAAGCCCCGGCUAAAUACGUGCCAGCAGCCGCGGUAAUGCGUAUGGGGCAAGCGUUAUCCGGAUUCAUUGGGCGUAAAGCGCGCGUAGGCGGCUUGUUAAGUCAGGCGUGAAAUCCGGGGGCUCAACCCGCGGCCUGCGUCUGAAACUGGCAGGCUUGAGUCUGGUAGAGGAAAGUGGAAUUCCUGGUGUAGCGGUGAAAUGCGCAGAUAUCAGGAGGGACACCAGUGGCGAAGGCGGCUUUCUGGGCCACGACUGACGCUGAGGCGCGAAAGCUAGGGGAGCGAACAGGAUUAGAUACCCUGGUAGUC
rnacentral:rRNA from 1 species